CGGCUAACUCCGUGCCAGCAGCCGCGGUAAUACGGGGGGAGCAAGCGUUGUUCGGAUUUACUGGGCGUAAAGGGCGCGUAGGCGGCCAGCGCAAGUUAGUUGUGAAAUCUCCGGGCUUAACUCGGAAAGGUCAACUGAUACUGCGCGGCUAGAGUGCGGAAGGGGCAACUGGAAUUCUCGGUGUAGCGGUGAAAUGCGUAGAUAUCGUAAGGAAGACCAGUGGCGAAGGCGGGUCUCUGGACAGUUCCUGACGCUGAGGCACGAAGGCCAGGGGAGCAAACGGGAUUAGAUACCCCGGUAGUCCUGGCAGUAAACGGUGCACGUUUGGUGUGGGAGGAUUCGACCCCUUCUGCGCCGGAGCUAACGCGUUAAACGUGCCGCCUGGGGAGUAUGGUCGCAAGAUUAAAACUCAAAGAAAUUGACGGGGGCCCGCACAAGCGGUGGAGUAUGUGGCUCAAUUCGAUGCAACGCGAAGAACCUUACCAGGCCUUGACAUGCAUCUCUAAGUUGGUGAAAGCCAGCGAGUCCCGCAAGGGACAAUUUGCACAGGUGCUGCAUGGCUGUCGUCAGCUCGUGUCGUGAGAUGUUGGGUUAAGUCCCGCAACGAGCGCAACCCCUGUGAACUGUUGCCACCGAGCCGUGAGGCUCGAGCACUCUGUUCAGACUGCCCCGCUUUAACGGGGAGGAAGGUGGGGACGACGUCAAGUCAGUAUGGCCCUUACGGCCUGGGCUGCACACGUACUACAAUGCCCAGCACAGAACGAUCCAAGACCGCAAGGUGGAGGAAAUCACUAAAACUGGGCCCAGUUCAGAUUGGAGUCUGCAACUCGACUCCAUGAAGCCGGAAUCGCUAGUAAUGGCGUAUCAGCUACGACGCCGUGUUUACGUUCCCGGGCCUUGUACACACCGC
rnacentral:rRNA from 1 species